rnacentral:telomerase_RNA from 1 species
GUAAGCGCGUUUGAAAUAAUAGGACAUGAGCGGGUAGGUCUCGUCUAUAUGAUGAGUACACCUACUGUGGAUUUUUAACCUAACCUAUUUAUCUUCUUUACGUGGUUUGGUCAAGCUUCUCCUUCCACUGCGAAAAUGGUAGAAGUAUUCUCAUGUCAUCAAUAUUUUGGACUUAUAAAACAUGAAACCUUAUAUUUUU